AUUGAACGCUGGCGGCAGGCCUAACACAUGCAAGUCGAACGGUAGCACAGAGAGCUUGCUCUCGGGUGACGAGUGGCGGACGGGUGAGUAAUGUCUGGGAAACUGCCCGAUGGAGGGGGAUAACUACUGGAAACGGUAGCUAAUACCGCAUAACGUCGCAAGACCAAAGUGGGGGACCUUCGGGCCUCACACCAUCGGAUGUGCCCAGAUGGGAUUAGCUAGGAGGUGGGGUAAUGGCUCACCUAGGCGACGAUCCCUAGCGGGUCUGAGAGGAUGGCCAGCCUCACUGGAACUGAGACACGGUGCAGACACCUACGGGAGGCAGCAGUGGGGAAUAUUGCACAAUGGACGCAAGCCUGAUGCAGCCAUGCCGCGUGUAUGAAGAAGGCCUUCGGGUUGUAAAGUACUUUCAGCGGGGAGGAAGGCGGUGAAGUUAAUAACUUCACCGAUUGACGUUACCCGCAGGAGAAGCACCGGCUAACUCCGUGCCAGCCGCCGCCGUAA
rnacentral:rRNA from 1 species